UACAGAGGUCCCGAGCGUUGUUCGGAUUCACUGGGCGUAAAGGGUGCGUAGGUGGCCAUGAAAGUCUGAUGUGAAAUCCCCGAGCUCAACUCGGGAACUGCGUCCGAUACUGACAGGCUUGAAUCCGGGAGAGGGAUGCGGAAUUCCAGGUGUAGCGGUGAAAUGCGUAGAUAUCUGGAGGAACACCGGUGGCGAAGGCGGCAUCCUGGACCGGCAUUGACGCUGAGGCGCGAAAGCUAGGGGAGCAAACGGG
rnacentral:rRNA from 1 species